UACAGAGGUCCCAAGCGUUUGUUCGGAUUCAUUGGGCGUAAAGGGUGCGUAGGCGGCGUCGUAAGUUGGAUGUGAAAUCUCGGGGCUCAACCCCGAAACUGCAUUCAAUACUGCGAUGCUCGAGUACUGGAGAGGAGACUGGAAUUCGAUGGUGUAGCAGUGAAAUGCGUAGAUAUCAAUUGAGGAAGGCCAGUGGCGAAGGCGGG
rnacentral:rRNA from 1 species